GUACGGGUGCGGAACACGUGUGCACUGCCUUUAUCUGGGGGAUAGCCUUUCGAAAGGAAGAUUAAUACCCCAUAAUAUGUUGAAUGGCAUCAUUCGACAUUGAAAACUCCGGUGGAUAGAGAUGGGCACGCGCAAGAUUAGAUAGUUGGUGAGGUAACGGGUCANCAAGUCUACGAUCUUUAGGGGGCCUGAGAGGGUGAUCCCCCAAACUGGUACUGAGACACGGAUCAGACUCCUACGGGAGGCAGCAGUGAGGAAUAUUGGACAAUGGGUGAGAGCCUGACCCAGCCAUCCCGCGUGAAGGACGACUGCCCUAUAGGUUGUAAACUUCUUUUGUAUAGGGAUAAACCUACCCUCGUGAGGGUAGCUGAAGGUACUAUACCGAAUAAGCACCGGCUAACUCCGUGCCAGCAGCCGCGGUAAAUACGGAGGGUGCAAGGCGUUAUCCCGGGAUUUAUCGGGUUAAANNGGGUCCGUAGGCGGACUCUGUACGUCACGCUGGUGGAAAUCUCACCAGUUUAAUGGUGGCAAACCUGGCCCAUUGGAUACUGGCCAGGUCCUUGGGCAAGCUGGUUCGGGCUCGGNAAAGUUAAGCUUGGG
rnacentral:rRNA from 1 species